UACGGAGGGUGCAAGCGUUAUCCGGAUUUACUGGGUUUAAAGGGUGCGUAGGUGGGUUGGUAAGUCAGUGGUGAAAUACUUUCGCUUAACGAAGGAACUGCCAUUGAUACUACCAGUCUUGAAUACAGUGGAGGUAGGCGGAAUGCGUCAUGUAGCGGUGAAAUGCUUAGAUAUGACGCAGAACACCAAUUGCGAAGGCAGCUUGCUACACUGUUAUUGGACACUGAGGCACGAAAGCGUGGGGAUCAAACAGG
rnacentral:rRNA from 1 species